rnacentral:rRNA from 1 species
UGCAGUCGAGCGGUAACAGAUCCAGCUUGCUGGAUGCUGACGAGCGGCGGACGGGUGAGUAAUGCAUAGGAAUCUGCCCGAUAGUGGGGGAUAACCUGGGGAAACCCAGGCUAAUACCGCAUACGUCCUACGGGAGAAAGGGGGCUCCGGCUCCCGCUAUGGGAUGAGCCUAUGUCGGAUUAGCUAGUUGGUGAGGUAACGGCUCACCAAGGCCACGAUCCGUAGCUGGUCUGAGAGGAUGAUCAGCCACAUCGGGACUGAGACACGGCCCGAACUCCUACGGGAGGCAGCAGUGGGGAAUAUUGGACAAUGGGGGAAACCCUGAUCCAGCCAUGCCGCGUGUGUGAAGAAGGCCCUCGGGUUGUAAAGCACUUUCAGCGAGGAAGAACGCCUAGCGGUUAAUACCCGCUAGGAAAGACAUCACUCGCAGAAGAAGCACCGGCUAACUCCGUGCCAGCAGCCGCGGUAAUACGGAGGGUGCAAGCGUUAAUCGGAAUUACUGGGCGUAAAGCGCGCGUAGGUGGCUUGAUAAGCCGGUUGUGAAAGCCCCGGGCUCAACCUGGGAACGGCAUCCGGAACUGUCAAGCUAGAGUGCAGGAGAGGAAGGUAGAAUUCCCGGUGUAGCGGUGAAAUGCGUAGAGAUCGGGAGGAAUACCAGUGGCGAAGCGGCCUUCUGGACUGACACUGACACUGACGUGCGAAAGCGUGAGUAGCAAACAGGAUUAGAUACCCUGCUAGUCC